UUUUUGGAGCAUGUGCACGCCUAGCGCCAUUUUUACCACCUGUGCACUUCUUGUAGAUUUGAAACACCUCUCGAGGAAACUCGGUUUGAGGACUGCUGUGCGCAAGCUAAGCUUUCCUUGCGUUUCAGGUCUAUGUUUUUAUAUACCCCAUAAGAAUGUUUUAGAAUGUCAUUAAUGGGCUUCAUUGCCUCUAAAUUAAUACAACUUUCAACAACGGAUCUCUUGGCUCUCGCAUCGAUGAAGAACGCAGCGAAAUGCGAUAAGUAAUGUGAAUUGCAGAAUUCAGUGAAUCAUCGAAUCUUUGAACGCACCUUGCGCUCCUUGGUAUUCCGAGGAGCAUGCCUGUUUGAGUGUCAUUAAAUUCUCAACCCUUUCAGCUUUUGCGAGCUGGAUUGGCUUGGAUG
rnacentral:misc_RNA from 1 species